rnacentral:rRNA from 1 species
GGACCCGCACAAGCGGUGGAGCAUGUGGUUUAAUUCGAUGCAACGCGAAAAACCUUACCUACUCUUGACAUCCUUGGAACCUUUUGUAAUGAAAGGGUGCCUUUUGGAACCAAGUGACAGGUGCUGCAUGGCUGUCGUCAGCUCGUGUCGUGAGAUGUUGGGUUAAGUCCCAUAACGAGCGCAACCCUUACCCUUAUUUGCCAGCGGUUCGGCCGGGAACUAUAAGGGGACUGCCGGUGACAAACCGGAGGAAGGUGAGGACGACGUCAAGUCAUCAUGGCCCUUACGAGUAGGGCUACACACGUGCUACAAUGGAGAAUACAGACGGACGCUAAAGCGCGAGCUGGUGCUAAUCCUAGAAAAUUCUUCGUAGUCCGGAUUGCAGUCUGCAACUCGACUGCAUGAAGUCGGAAUCGCUAGUAAUCG